rnacentral:rRNA from 1 species
UACGUAGGGACCGAGCGUUGUCCGGAAUCAUUGGGCGUAAAGAGCGUGUAGGCGGCCACUUAAGUCCUGCGUGAAAUCUUGCGGCUCAACCGCAAGCGGUCGUGGGAAACUGGGUGGCUAGAGUGCGGGAGAGGAGAGUGGAAUUCCUGGUGUAGCGGUGGAAUGCGCGGAUAUCAGGAAGAAUACCCGUGGCGAAGGCGGCUCUCUGGAACGCAACUGACGCUGAGACGCGAAAGCGUGGGGAGCAAACAGG